AUUGAACGCUGGCGGCAGGCCUAACACAUGCAAGUCGAGCGGAGCGGCGGACGGGGGAGUAAUGCCUAGGAAUCUGCCUGGUAGUGGUGGAUAACGUCCGGAAACGGGCGCUAAUACCGCAUACUAUCAGAUGAGCCUAGGCCGGAUUAGCUAGGUGGUGGGGUAAUGGCCUACCAAGGCGACGAUCCGUAACUGGUCGGAGAGGAUGAUCAGUCACGCGGGAACUGAGACACGGCCCAGACUCCUACGGGAGGCAGCAGUGGGGAAUUUUGGAAAAUGGGCGAAAGCCUGAUGCGGCCAUGCCGCGUGUGUGAAGAAGGUCUCCGGAUUGUAAAGCACUUUAAGUUGGGAGGCGUUACCAACAGAAUAAGCCCCGGCUAACUACGUGCCAGCAGCCGCGGUAAUUC
rnacentral:rRNA from 1 species